CGGCGGGCUGAGGGGCUUCUCAAGUGCGGCCAGAGUGGGCGCCGAGGCCGAGGAGGCGCCAAGAGUGAGCGAGGGCUGCGAGGGCUGCCACCACGAUGUCACCUCUCAGUUCUAGGGCCUCACUCUGUCACUCAGGCUGGAGUGAAGUGGUGCAAUCACAGUUCACUGAAACCUUGAACUCCUGGGUACAAGGAAUCCUCCUGUCUGGAACUACAGGCACGUACCACAACGCCUGACUUUUACUGCUUUUUAUUUAAGAUUUAAUAACAGGAAAGAUACCACAAAGAAACUUAAACUACAAAGAGAAAAUACUUGUAAUUCAUGUCAUUCCCAAGGAAUUUGGAAUAAAAUAUAUAAAGAUUCCUACUGAUCAAUUAGUGAUAAACAACAAUCUAAUAAUAAGAAGAAAAAACUAAAUGAAUGGGUGAUUUAUUAAAAAGGAUACAAGAAUAGAGAAUGAUAUAUGAAAAGAUAUCCAUUAAUGAUCAGAGAUAUGUAGAUUUUGGUAGUCUUAAAACUUUACAGCAACAUUUUUGGACAUUUCUUCCAACUAGAUGGUGGAUCUGUGUCCCCUCCUCUUGAAUCUGAGUGGACCUUUCUGGCUUCAAUCAAUAAAAAGUAUGACAAAAUUGAUGGUCUGUUGUUUCCAGGCCCAGGUCAUAAAAGGCCAGGCAGAUUCACUCUUGGCCACUCAAAUGCUUGCUCUUGUAGUCCUGAGCAACAAGUCUGACCUCUCUGAGUUGCUGUGUUGAUAAGAAGCUUAUAGGUGCUCUGGUCUUUAAGCCUCAGCUAUUGGUCAUCCUUGGCUGUUCAAAUCUUUCUUCCUGAGGGCAUGGAUGUUAUGGUGGAGACACAAUACAUUCCUGAUCCAUGGGAAGAAUGAAC
rnacentral:lncRNA from 10 species